rfam:Pyrococcus furiosus DSM 3638, complete genome.
CGGGAUGAGGAAGCCGAGGACACCUGAUGGAUGAUGACUCUUCGCUUCGCCGACC